rnacentral:rRNA from 1 species
AGCGAACGCUGGCGGCAGGCCUAACACAUGCAAGUCGAACGAACCUUUCGGGGUUAGUGGCGGACGGGUGAGUAACACGUGGGAACGUGCCUUUAGGUUCGGAAUAACUCAGGGACACUUGUGCUAAUACCGAAUGUGCCCUUCGGGGGAAAGAUUAAUCGCCUUUAGAGCGGCCCGCGUCUGAUUAGCUAGUUGGUUGAGGUAAUGGCUCACCAAGGCGACGAUCAGUAGCUGGUCUGAGAGGAUGAUCAGCCACAUUGGGACUGAGACACGGCCCAAACUCCUACGGGAGGCAGCAGUGGGGAAUCUUGCGCAAUGGGCGAAAGCCUGACGCAGCCAUGCCGCGUGAAUGAUGAAGGUCUUAGGAUUGUAAAAUUCUUUCACCGGGGACGAUAAUGACGGUACCCGGAGAAGAAGCCCCGGCUAACUUCGUG